UACGAAGGGGGCUAGCGUUGCUCGGAAUAACUGGGCGUAAAGCGCACGUAGGCGGCUUCUUAAGUCAGGGGUGAAAUCCUGGAGCUCAACUCCAGAACUGCCUUUGAUACUGAGGAGCUUGAGUCCGGGAGAGGUGAGUGGAACUGCGAGUGUAGAGGUGAAAUUCGUAGAUAUUCGCAAGAACACCAGUGGCGAAGGCGGCUCACUGGCCCGGUACUGACGCUGAGGUGCGAAAGCGUGGGGAGCAAACAGG
rnacentral:rRNA from 1 species